AUCUAGCUGACGAGUCUUUAAUUAGACGAAACGUGCAUCCUAGAU
rfam:Schistosoma curassoni strain Dakar, Senegal genome assembly, scaffold: SCTD_contig0000456